CCUACGGGAGGCAGCAGUGGGGAAUAUUGCACAAUGGGCGCAAGCCUGAUGCAGCAACGCCGCGUGAGGGACGACGGCCUUCGGGUUGUAAACCUCUUUUAGUAGGGAAGAAGCGAAAGUGACGGUACCUGCAGAAAAAGCACCGGCUAACUACGUGCCAGCAGCCGCGGUAAUACGUAGGGUGCAAGCGUUGUCCGGAAUUAUUGGGCGUAAAGAGCUCGUAGGCGGUUUGUCGCGUCUGCUGUGAAAACCUGAGGCUCAACCUCAGACCUGCAGUGGGUACGGGCAGACUAGAGUGCGGUAGGGGAGAUUGGAAUUCCUGGUGUAGCGGUGGAAUGCGCAGAUAUCAGGAGGAACACCGGAUGGGCGAAGGCAGAUCUCUGGGCCGUAACUGACGCUGAGGAGCGAAAGCAUGGGGAGCGAACAGGAUUAGAUACCCUGGUAGUCCAUGCCGUAAACGUUGGGAACUAGAUGUAGGGACCAUUCCACGGUUUCUGUGUCGCAGCUAACGCAUUAAGUUCCCGCCUGGGAGUACGGCGCAAGGCUAAAACGUCAAAUGAAUUGACGG
rnacentral:rRNA from 1 species